rnacentral:lncRNA from 1 species
GGAAAUGAGGUGUGGGUAAAAGCAUUUCCCUUGUUUGUAUUUUGGGUUAGGGAUAGGAGGGAGUUUGGGUAUGUGAUAUGAAAACUUCUUUUUCCCAGACCUUAUAACCCAAGGUUGAGGAUGUGAUAUGAGUAGCUGUGCAAAAUUUCAAUGCUGCCCCUAAUUAUGUUGCUUUUGAUUGGCUCCCUACUCCUUUUAGAAGGGCAUUAUUGUAAUUUGAUAUCUAUUGCCUCAUCCCAAACCAAUCCCGUACCAAACAAGGGAAUAGGAAAAACUUAUAUCCCUAUCUUAUAUCCACCCAUUCGUACC